AUGGCCUUGGAGCUAAAUAAAGGCAGGCCCGUCUUAGAGGGGAUCCCUGGGGGGAAAGAGACGAGCAUAGGUUCCUCCCAAGAUGCCACCCGCUUCAUUCAAGUGUCUGGCAGCACUGUGUUCCUGUUAGAGCCACCAGCACAAGCACCAGACGAUGCUGAUCCAGGUGAAGGCCCCAGUGCAGCAGCAACAGCACAUGAUGGAGACGAUGAUGAGGAGGAGACCAUCUCUCUGGAUUCCAGAAGGCAUGAGGUAUCAUGUUAAGACUGUGAAAGUACUAUUUACUCUACAAUGGUGAGGAGUCCUCAUCAAAAUCAAAAAAUCUAAUUUCUUUUACAGGACCCAGAUGCUAUACAGUGGGAAAACCAGCCUGGCAACAUAGUGCGUAUUAAUAAAAGGACACCACAUCCUGCCAAAUUCCAGCUGCGCUAAUUGUAUUGUGUUCACAUAGCUCACAAGCUAUCAGAAAGUUGUAUGGCAACCACCUCCGGUGCCAAAUAGAACUGGCAGACAUAGACAUUCAGUACAAGAAGAAAAAGAUGGAAAAUCUUGCACUGGAGUUCGAAAUAAAAAAGAGGACAAUUAGGAAACUGGACCUUGAAAUAAAAAAACUUGAGAGGGAGGUGAGAUAUGCCUUCAAUGUACACUGUAUGCUAACUGUAACACAAAUGUAUUAAUCAUUAUUUUUCUUUCCUUCCCCAGCUCCAAGAAGAUGACACAGCUCAAAAUAAAAAUUAGGUAUAUUCUCGUAAAGUCAAGUGAGCCAUGACAUAUGAGCUCUUAUUGUGAGCACACAGGACGGUGGCAUCUUUCUAAGGUUUUUUUUAUUUUCCCAGCAAUCAGUACAACCAAGUCAUCGUUAUAAGGCAUCGCCCUCUUUUGCCCACCCCCCCCAGCACCAGGUGUGGCCACUAGCCUAUAUGAAGGCCCAAAAUUGUGUGUUCCUUUCUGCUCUGACAAUGGCAUGCCCAUUCGUGCGAGAUGUGGUGGAUGAAGAAGCACUUGUGCUGAGGAGAGCCUUCAGGUGAGAAAGGGUCUUCAGGGACCGGUUGGACCCACUGGCCUUCCCUGAUGACCAUCUAUAUGAAAGAUACAGGUUUUCUGCAGAUGGCAUCAGGUAUCUAUGCAGACUACUGGGUCCCAGGAUUAAGCACCGCACUGCACGGAGCCAUG
rnacentral:lncRNA from 13 species